GAUGAAUAACGCAGCGAAAUGCGAUAAGUAGUGUGAAUUGCAGAAUUCAGUGAAUCAUCGAAUCUUUGAACGCACAUUGCGCCCUUUGGUAUUCCUUAGGGCAUGCCUGUUCGAGCGUCAUUUAAACCUUCAAGCUAAGCUUGGUGUUGGGUGACUGUCCGCUUCACGGCGGACUCGCCUCAAAAUUAUUGGCGGCCGGUACAUUGGCUUCGAGCGCAGCAGAAACGCGAACUCGGGCCCGUCGUAUUGGCUCCCAGAAGCUAUCUUCACAAUUUUGACCUCGGAUCAGGUAGGGAUACCCGCUGAACUUAAGCAUAUCAAUAAGCGGAGGA
rnacentral:misc_RNA from 1 species